UUAUGAAUUUUACCUUCUGCACAAGCUAAUGGUCAAAACAGCCCUGCAGAUUAUGGAAGCAAGCAACGGCAGUACCAUGCCUGCACAUGCUUUUGGUGAUUAUCAAUCACAUAUCGACUCCUCACUGAAUAAUAACGAUGGUUUCAGUACACCCAAAAGAAAAACAAGCACACCCAUAUGUUGUUCAACGUUCGUACCCGAGUGUGAUGAUGAACUGAAGCCAGUGGUCGGGAUGACAUUUGAUGACGUUGAAUCCGUGGAAACUUUUUACAAGUCAUAUGCACAUCAUGCUGGUUUCGGAAUCCGUAAUGGGCAGCGGAGGCUAGUAGAUGAUGUAGUUAUUUGGAAGCGCUUUUUAUGCGCAAGGCAAGGAUAUAAGUCAGAAAAAGGUACAAAUACUACUCAUCCCUUGAAUACUGGAAAGAGGACUGUCGAUCCCUCAAAAAAAAAGUAAGAAAAAACGUAAGAUGAAAGAAUCUAGAUGUGGAUGUGAUGCUCGCAUUUUUGUGAAGAAGACCAGUGAUAACAAGUACAAGAUAGCUUCAUUUGUUGAGCACCACAAUCAUGGACCGGUGACACCUAGCAAGCAUCACCUAAUCAGAUCCAACCGUCGACUCAAUGAGAAGGCCAAAACCACACUUUACUCAUGCCACAAAGCAAGCAUAGGCACUUCGCAGGCAUUUAGAUUGCUUCAUGUCAGUGCCGGUGGUUUUGAGAAUGUGGGAUGCACGAAGAGAGAUCUACAAAAUUACUAUUGUGAAUUCAAAAAUAAAAUCAACAACUAUGAUGCUCAAAUGUUUGUGGACCAACUGGGUAGAAUGAAGGAACUCAACCCAGCAUUUUACUUUGACUAUGACGUGGAUGAAGAUGGUAUGAUGCUGCAUGAUUUUUGUGCAAAUGCCACUGCAAGGAAAAACUAUAGUCAUUUUGGUGAUGUGCUUUCUUUUGAUUCAACAUACACCACUAACCACUACAAUAUGAUUUUUGCACCUUC